UACGUAGGGCGCAAGCGUUGUCCGGAAUUAUUGGGCGUAAAGAGCUCGUAGGCGGCUUGUCACGUCGGGUGUGAAAGCCCGGGGCUUAACCCCGGGUCUGCAUUCGAUACGGGCUAGCUAGAGUGUGGUAGGGGAGAUCGGAAUUCCUGGUGUAGCGGUGAAAUGCGCAGAUAUCAGGAGGAACACCGGUGGCGAAGGCGGUUCUCUGGGCCUUACCUGACGCUGAGGAGCGAAAGCGUGGGGAGCAAACAGG
rnacentral:rRNA from 1 species